rnacentral:rRNA from 1 species
AGUGAACGCUGGCGGUAGGCCUAACACAUGCAAGUCGAACGGCAGCACAGUAAGAGCUUGCUCUUACGGGUGGCGAGUGGCGGACGGGUGAGGAAUACAUCGGAAUCUACUUUUUCGUGGGGGAUAACGUAGGGAAACUUACGCUAAUACCGCAUACGUCCUACGGGUGAAAGCAGGGGAUCUUCGGACCUUGCGCGAUUGAAUGAGCCGAUGUCGGAUUAGCUAGUUGGCGGGGUAAAGGCCCACCAAGGCGACGAUCCGUAGCUGGUCUGAGAGGAUGAUCGGCCACACUGGAACUGAGACACGGUCCAGACUCCUACGGGAGGCAGCAGUGGGGAAUAUUGGACAAUGGGCGCAAGCCUGAUCCAGCCAUACCGCGUGGGUGAAGAAGGCCUUCGGGUUGUAAAGCCCUUUUGUUGGGAAAGAAAAGCAGCAGGUUAAUACCCCGCUGUUCUGACGGUACCCAAAGAAUAAGCACCGGCUAACUUCGUG